rnacentral:rRNA from 1 species
GACGUAGGGCGCGAGCGUUGUCCGGAUUUAUUGGGCGUAAAGAGCUCGUAGGCGGCUUGUCGCGUCGAAUGUGAAAACUCGGGGCUCAACUCCGAGCUUGCAUUCGAUACGGGCAGGCUAGAGUUCGGUAGGGGAGACUGGAAUUCCUGGUGUAGCGGUGAAAUGCGCAGAUAUCAGGAGGAACACCGGUGGCGAAGGCAGCUCGCUGGGACGGUACUGACGCUGAGGCGCGAAAGCGUGGGGGAGCGAACAGG